UAGCACAAAUGGAAUCAUCUAUUAACCAAAAAACAUGUUAUGACAAAGUAUGGGUGGUAUACAGAAGAUAGCUCUAUUUGGUAAAAGACCAAGUCUGACGUGGCAGCGUGGUAGGCAUAGUUUGUUGCAUGACUUAAUCACAACAAUUGAGGAUUGGCUGAUAACUACGAAACAAACAUUCUGGAUAAUAUUGAGAAUGUGGAACUAUUUAUUGAUCCGCAUUUUGAUAUGCUCGUAAAAGAAACGCAUACAUCGAAGUGAACAAGAGAAUAUCUUUCCUCGAGUUCUACAAGUGAAACUGAUGGGAAGUUGCCGCCAAAAAUUCAAAAUGUCACAUUGGGAGGGGGACGAUUUUAUAACUGUCUCCAGAAGAUAGAGCAUUGCUUACAAGCAUGAGCGAGCAGUUCAAAAAAAUGAUAUAUUGCCUGGGUUACUGGGGGAGUUUGAGGCCUUAAAAAUAGGAAUGGAUUACAGUAAUAAAAUGAAAUACGAGUGGAAAAUAAGAUAUUGUAAACUGCCGUGGACUCCCUAGAAGACACUACAGAGAGGCUACGGUAUGACAAUAAAACAAUGAAAGCCGAAUUACUUGAUCUAAAGUGCAGAAGUAUGAAAAAUAAUAUUGUUAUAAUGGGAAUAAAAGGAGGAUGAACAUAAACUAUUUGUCAACGGAGGAAAAAUCAAGGUGUUCAGGAAAGGUAAUCUCAAUAUGACGGACGAACAGGUGGAAAUAAUUGAUUUUCAGAGGGCUCACCGUUUCGGUGGCAGAGCAGAGGGAAGGCCCCGUCCGAUCGUAGCUAUGCAUACCCACCUCAAAAGGAAAAUUGCUUUGUUACAACAGGUUAGAGAAUUGAAGAACACCUCAUUCUCUAUUGAUGAACAAUUUCCCCAUAAAAUAGUGGAGAGACGACGUGCCCUGUACCCCACUUUCAAAAGGCUCCGAGCAGUGAAGCAGAAUGUUGGUCUAGUGGUCAAUAAAUGAUAUGUAAACAACCAAAUGUUCAAGGACUAGUAGAUUACAAUGUGGCUGUGAGUGAUUAGCUACCUCCUGUUGAAGUAGUCCCCGAUAGAUAUUUGCACCGCGUUAAACAGUACACAACUUUUUUGUUUGCAUGAACAACUUUUUUUUAUUCAUGCAGUAUGGAACCGUGGACUUAAAAUAAGGUUGGACUUAUGGUAAUGCAGAAUGGGUAUGAUGAACUUAUCAUUUCUCUAUAUGGACUUAAUAUCAGGUUUUGAUUUAGGGGAAGGCAAAGAUGGGGCACUGCCUUUGCCAAGCCCACCUCGCCCCUCCUUGGGCCACUCCAUCAGUGUCCCUGCUAUGUCAAUGAGGUAAAACACUGGGCACACUACUGCACUACUACUACUUUCUGCAGGAACUCCAUAGGCGACAUUCCAAUACAUUCAAGUCCUUUUGAAGACAUGGCGUGAAGCGUGAAGAACAAGGUGUCCAGGAUUCUAGGGAUUGACAGAGAUAACUCUGGGUCUGAAAGAAGCCCAUCUCAGAACAGUGGUUCCUUCCAACAUAAUCUAUUUUUCUCUCAACCAUCUGUAAUCUCUCUACUCCCUUCAUUACUUUAACCUGAUGUCAUGGUCCACACUACCCCUUCAAAGAGUAAACAUUAUGCAGGAGGUUGAUAACUUGGGUAUGGCUUUGACAGUGUUGGUUCCAAACUUUCAUUCAUUCUAAAUAUGAAGUAGUAUUUCCAAUAUGUAGUUAUGUAUAUUGUCCAACUGUUUGAAGGAAAAUGUCAUUGUCAUAUUCUACUAUUGCAUUAUAAGAACAUAACAAUCACAAAUGUACAGUAAUGUAUUUUUGUACUUUAAGAGAAUUUACAAUUAAAACAAAAGUGGUCUGUUCUGAUUUUGGAUACUAUACCUUUCUGGAGAAAUAAAGAGAGAAAUAAAAGUGA